CAGGCUAUACUCGUUUUCGUUUUGCAGGCUAUACUCGUUUUCGUUUUGCAGGCUAUACUCGUUUUCGUUUUGCAGGCUAUAACCGUUUUCGUUUUGCAGGCUAUAACCGUUUUUGUUUUGCAGGCCCUAACCUUUUAAGGGCCCAAACCGUUUCCGUUUUGCGGGCCCCAACCGUUCCGUUUUGCGGGCCCUGACCGUUUUCGUUUUGCGUGCCCCGACCGUUUUCGUAGGCUCUAACCAUGCUUAUUGCAAGUUGCGUUGGCAUUUCUGAUGCAAGGCCUGUCUUCGGAGCAGGAUGUUGAACACAUAAGUGUUUUGUGUGACCAUUUUGUUUUCAGGUUACCAUUCUCUUUUUCAGGUUUCGUUGAAAUUUAAAUAGUUGAUGCACUUGGAUAACUGGUAGAAUUGUGUAUUAUGAAACCGUUCAGAUCUGCAAUAGAAUUGUUGAUGCUGUCAAAGCUGGCCUAAAGAUAAUAAAACUACUUGUUUGUAUUUUAUUUUCGAUACACACAGGUUUAAAAACAUCGAGUGGAAACUUGCAUACAUGUUGACAAAUUGUGGAUAUUAUACCCGUUGAUAAAUAUACAAUAAAAAGGACUCGAAUUGUUGAUGAAGCACAUGUGGCAUAUCUGGACGUCUGGUUAAACUUAUUAACUGAUGGCAAAUCGUGGAUGAAACCGUUUAUUUAUUUAAUAUAAAAGUUUACUUGGAUUGUUGAUGAACACGAGCAUCGCUGCUGGCCUUUCAUCGAGUUGACAUUUGCGUAAUUGAGACAAAUUGUGGGAAUGGAACUGUUGAUUUAUUUGCUAUGAACUUAACUGAACUGUAAGAGUGCGUCGACUACAUAGAAAAAGAUUUGCACUGCGGAGAAAUGAUUAUCAGUAUUACUGGAAUAGUGAUUUUGAUCAUAUUAUUGAUAACAACGCACACAACCUCAUGGAAACACAAUGAAGGGGGACAGGAGCGUUGUGAAACUGAAGUUGACAUCAAAUCUACAAAUUGUCCUUUGGAAAAGACCAUAGGAGCUCGACUGUGGUACAAGCAUCGAAGUGACCAUCACAAUCGGACAGCGGUUCUUUUUUAUGGCAUUAAAUCCGAUAUCAACUGAACUCAAUUUGGGGAACUAAAGACUGAUCAGCAGAUUAACACAGUCCAAAUCUGACACUAUGAAACUCUAAAAAAAAUGUGACUAGUGCCGCCUCAGACUGAUUCUGCGACUCUUGGAUCAACUAUAAACGCCGAAACUUUGAUGAACAAACUAUUUAGAUAAUAUUGACAUCUCCUCACUUAAAACUCAAUACAUUGAGACGAUUCACAACUAACUGAAAUUGAUUUAUGAUGAAAUAUCUUGCCACACAUAUAAGACCGUGGUAAGAUACACGACUGUUGUAAAAAUUGAUGGAAUGCUUAAUUAUCAGCUGAGGCCCACUAUGUAUUAAAGCGAACUGUGGGCUCUUUCAGACUUUUUUAUAUUAUCAAUAUUAUGUGAAAUUUAUUUUGAUAUUUUGAAUCCGGUACUUUAUUUUAAGCGGAGUGCGAGUACAAUUUAGAGUUAUUCGAUUUUUUAAAAUUGCUGUAGGGUUGGGGUGGGCUUUCUACACGGAUAGAUGCUGUUAACAGCUCCGUGUAUGGUUUACAGCAAUUUUAUUUCCGUUUUAAUCAAAAUAAUAAGGUGCGAAAUCAAUUGCUAUUUAGGCCCAAUAUAAUAAUAUUAAUCUAUUCAGUUUGCAGUCGUACAAUCCGGUCAAUUAUCGUUUUGCGGCUUUGCUUUUAGAAGAUUUAUAUCUUUGUGUCAAGAUACGUCUAUAAAUCUUUUCUAGAUGUUUCCUGUCGCUUUUAAUGCUAUACAUUACAAGGUACAGUAACGCAGUUAUUAUGGAAAUACUUUUACAAAUAAAUAUUUUUAUUGUAGAAAUUUUACUUGUUCUGACGAA